rnacentral:rRNA from 1 species
GAUGAACGCUGGCGGCGUGCUUAACACAUGCAAGUCGAACGGUGAAAGAGAGCUUGCUCUCUGGAUCAGUGGCGAACGGGUGAGUAACACGUGAGCAAUCUGCCCCUGACUCUGGGAUAAGCGCUGGAAACGGCGUCUAAUACCGGAUACGAGCUGCGAAGGAAUCUGCAGCAGCUGGACAGAACUUCGGUCAGGGAUGAGCUCGCGGCCUAUCAGCUAGUUGGUGAGGUAAUGGCUCACCAAGGCGUCGACGGGUAGCCGGCCUGAGAGGGUGACCGGCCACACUGGGACUGAGACACGGCCCAGACUCCUACGGGAGGCAGCAGUGGGGAAUAUUGCACAAUGGGCGCAAGCCUGAUGCAGCAACGCCGCGUGAGGGACGACGGCCUUCGGGUUGUAAACCCCUUUUAGUAGGGAAGAAGCGAAAGUGACGGUACCUGCGGAAAAAGCACCGGCUAACUACGUGCCAGCAGCCGCCGUAACAC